UAAAUCAUGUAAUUGGCUGGAGAAGUGUGUGGCAAUCUUUUAAGUAUACAAAUUGGUUUUUAAUUAUGAUUUUUAAUUUGUAAAAUUAAUAUUAUUAACUAUACAAAGCAUCUUUUAUGUGAUGCGAAAAUUUCUGAUCUUGUAUUUUUAUUUAUGUAUUUAUGCUUGUUAAGUGCUCCUUUAGAUAGUGGUACCAAUGUCUAAGUCCUUCAUCUUGAAAACAAGUUUGUAAGUCACUAAGUGAAUUCAUCAUUUAUAAAGAUUGAUAGUAGAAGUGACCUUUGCUAUACACAGUGGUGGGAGAGGUGGCUUUGCAAAAUGGAGGUUUAAAAGAGAGAGGGGGGCAAUGCUAUUGUGCUACUUUGAGUUACGAUGAUCCAGAGGCAGUGGUCGGAUGUGAGGAUGGCACAGCUCGUUUAUUUGACGUUUACAGUAGAAAGUGUUCUCAAAUAAUCAGGAUGCGUGCUGGGCCUGUAACAUGCUUAUGUUUGUGCGAUGAUCAGUUGAUACUUAGUGGUUCCUCUCUUGGGAGCAUCACUGUCUCGGGUAGUUUAUCUGAUCGGCAGUUAGCAACACUAAGAUCAAGAAUAACAAUAGGAGGUAUUCUAUUCCUGCUGUGUCAGAAAUCUUUAUUUGGCCAUGUCUAUAUUCUGUUCAUCAGCCUUCUGGAUCGUUUGGAAUUUGCUUAUUUACAUUGAUGUAUAUGACACUGUUUUUGUUUCCAUUCUCAUCUUUUAUUAGAUCGGUUAUUUUAUUUCUUUUUGUAUUGAGAUUAAAGCUUGGUUGAGUUGGGUUGGGUUGUGUUGAUGUAUAUACAGAUAAACAUGAUAUUAUUGAAAGUGUGAAGUGAAGCUGGCUUGUCUGUGGUAAUUUGUCCACCUGACAUUGCAGUCCUAUUUUUGCAUUUUGGCUAUUUGGGGACCUUGUGUCCUUUUUGAAAAUCUACAUGUCUAAGUCUUCUAUAUUGUUUGAGGUCAUGUCCAACACCUAAGCCUCAUUUAG